rnacentral:rRNA from 1 species
AUGAACGCUAGCUACAGGCUUAACACAUGCAAGUCGAGGGGCAGCAUGAACUUAGCUUGCUAAGUUUGAUGGCGACCGGCGCACGGGUGAGUAACACGUAUCCAACCUGCCGAUGACUCGGGGAUAGCCUUUCGAAAGAAAGAUUAAUACCCGAUGGCAUAGUUCUUCCGCAUGGUAGAACUAUUAAAGAAUUUCGGUCAUCGAUGGGGAUGCGUUCCAUUAGGUUGUUGGCGGGGUAACGGCCCACCAAGCCUUCGAUGGAUAGGGGUUCUGAGAGGAAGGUCCCCCACAUUGGAACUGAGACACGGUCCAAACUCCUACGGGAGGCAGCAGUGAGGAAUAUUGGUCAAUGGACGAGAGUCUGAACCAGCCAAGUAGCGUGAAGGAUGACUGCCCUAUGGGUUGUAAACUUCUUUUAUACGGGAAUAAAGUGAGGCACGUGUGCCUUUUUGUAUGUACCGUAUGAAUAAGGAUCGGCUAACUCCGUGCCAGCAGCCGCGGUAAUACGGAGGAUCCGAGCGUUAUCCGGAUUUAUUGGGUUUAAAGGGAGCGUAGGCGGACGCUUAAGUCAGUUGUGAAAGUUUGCGGCUCAACCGUAAAAUUGCAGUUGAUACUGGGUGUCUUGAGUACAGUAGAGGCAGGCGGAAUUCGUGGUGUAGCGGUGAAAUGCUUAGAUAUCACGAAGAACUCCGAUUGCGAAGGCAGCUUGCUGGACUGUAACUGACGCUGAUGCUCGAAAGUGUGGGUAUCAAACAGGAUUAGAUACCCUGGUAGUCCACACAGUAAACGAUGAAUACUCGCUGUUUGCGAUAUACAGUAAGCGGCCAAGCGAAAGCGUUAAGUAUUCCACCUGGGGAGUACGCCGGCAACGGUGAAACUCAAAGGAAUUGACGGGGGCCCGCACAAGCGGUGGAUUAUGUGGUUUAAUUCGAAGCAACGCGAAGAACCUUACCAGGGCUUGACAUCCAACUAACGAAGCAGAGAUGCAUUAGGUGCCCUUCGGGGAAAGUUGAGACAGGUGGUGCAUGGUUGUCGUCAGCUCGUGCCGUGAGGUGUCGGCUUAAGUGCCAUAACGAGCGCAACCCUUAUCGAUAGUUACCAUCAGGUUAUGCUGGGGACUCUGUCGAGACUGCCGUCGUAAGAUGUGAGGAAGGUGGGGAUGACGUCAAAUCAGCACGGCCCUUACGUCCGGGGCUACACACGUGUUACAAUGGGGGGUACAGAAGGCAGCUACACGGCGACGUGAUGCUAAUCCCGAAAGCCUCUCUCAGUUCGGAUUGGAGUCUGCAACCCGACUCCAUGAAGCUGGAUUCGCUAGUAAUCGCGCAUCAGCCACGGCGCGGUGAAUACGUUCCCGGGCCUUGUACACACCGCCCGUCAAGCCAUGAAAGCCGGGGGUACCUGAAGUGCGUAACCGCAAGGAGCGCCCUAGGGUAAAACUGGUGAUUGGGGCU